rnacentral:rRNA from 1 species
UCGGCAACGGAUAUCUCGGCUCACGCAUCGAUGAAGAACGUAGCAAAAUGCGAUACUUGGUGUGAAUUGCAGAAUCCCGUGAACCAUCGAGUUUUUGAACGCAAGUUGCGCCCAAAGCCUUUCGGUUGAGGGCACGUCUGCCUGGGCGUCACAC